AGUGCACUACUCCAUGCACACUCCCUCCCUCGUUACCGCCUCGCCUCGCCUCGCCUCGCCUGCUGCCUCCCAGCCGCCAGCAAGUUCGCCUCACGCUUCCUCCUUCGCUUUCGUCCUUUCUUUCUCCUCAACAACAACAAAAAAAUCCCACAUCGCUCCUGCUGAAAGCUGCCGAGCUGAGCGACAGCUGGGAGGAGAAGUAAACUUGGUGGCUGAAGAAAAAGCUCCGCAGACAACACCAGUGAGUGGGACGCGGCUGGUUAUAGAAAUGAUUGUGGGCUUAUUUACGUGUUUGAGUUUGCUUUAAACCGAGGGGCCGAGCUACAACAUUCAGCACUUUCCCCUCCUCCUCCUCCUCCUCACUACCCCUCCGUGAGCAAAAACAAGAGGUCUGCACAGCUGUUGGUCUUCUCAGUAGUCAGGUUGUGAAUGUGGAGCAGUGAGGCAGAAAGCUACUGUAGGCCAUUUCCUGUGCUUCCAGUUGCCAUUAUGCCAUUAUUGUAAUGGUCCAGGCGACAGCUUAACGCACCCACAGGAAAUGCAUGUCCUGAUUGACCACUCUGACCUUUUGCUCCUGCACAUUCAGGCUGCAGUUAAGAUAGCAGUCUGACAUUUCUGUUUUCUCCCUCCAUGUCCGUUCUUCUUACUCUAGUACUUCCUGGUGAGACGGCGUAUUCGGUCCAUGUGUCAUACGUGUUGUGUGUGUAAAGUGUUGCGCAGUGAAAUGUUAUGAGGUAUGGCAGGGGUAUGGAGGGUG
ensembl:lncRNA